rnacentral:rRNA from 1 species
CCUACGGGCGGCAGCAGUGAGGAAUAUUGGUCAAUGGGCGCUAGCCUGAACCAGCCAAGUAGCGUGAAGGAUGACUGCCCUAUGAGUUGUAAACUUCUUUUAUAAGGGAAUAAAGUGCGGUACGUGUACCUUUUUGAAUGUACUUUAUGAAUAAGGAUCGGCUAACUCCGUGCCAGCAGCCGCGGUAAUACGGAGGAUCCGAGCGUUAUCCGGAUUUAUUGGGUUUAAAGGGAGCGUAGGCGGGUUGUUAAGUCAGUUGUGAAAGUUUGCGGCUCAACCGUAAAAUUGCAUUUGAUACUGGCAGCCUUGAGUACAGUUGAGGUAGGCGGAAUGUGUGGUGUAGCGGUGAAAUGCUUAGAUAUCACGAAGAACUCCGAUUGCGAAGGCAGCCUACUAAACUGUAACUGACGUUGAUGCUCGAAAGUGUGGGUAGCAAACAGGAUUAGAUACCCUAGUAGUC